rnacentral:misc_RNA from 1 species
UAACCACUCAAGCUCUCGCUUGGUAUUGGGGUUCGCGGUUUCGCGGCCCCUAAAAUCAGUGGCGGUGCCUAUCGGCUCUACGCGUAGUAAUACUCCUCGCGAUUGAGUCCGGUAGGUCUACUUGCCAGCAACCCCCUAAUUUUUUUAA